rnacentral:rRNA from 1 species
AGCAGAGAUGCUUUGGUGCCUUUCGGGAACUCUGAGACAGGUGCUGCAUGGCUGUCGUCAGCUCGUGUUGUGAAAUGUUGGGUUAAGUCCCGCAACGAGCGCAACCCUUAUCCUUUGUUGCCAGCGGUCCGGCCGGGAACUCAAAGGAGACUGCCAGUGAUAAACUGGAGGAAGGUGGGGAUGACGUCAAGUCAUCAUGGCCCUUACGAGUAGGGCUACACACGUGCUACAAUGGCGCAUACAAAGAGAAGCGACCUCGCGAGAGCAAGCGGACCUCAUAAAGUGCGUCGUAGUCCGGAUUGGAGUCUGCAACUCGACUCCAUGAAGUCGGAAUCGCUAGUAAUCGUGGAUCAGAAUGCCACGGUGAAUACGUUCCCGGGCCUUGUACACACCGCCCGUCACACCAUGGGAGUGGGUUGCAAAAGAAGUAGGUAGCUUAACCUUCGGGAGGGCGCUUACCACUUUGUGAUUCAUGACUGGGGUGAAGUCGUAACAAGGUAAGCGUAGUGCU